GUGCUUGCUUUGACAGCACAUAUACUAAAAUUGGAACUAUACAGAAAAGAUUAGUUUGGUCCCUGUGCAAGGAUGCCACGCAAAUUCAUGAAGUACUCCAUAGUAAA